CCCCCUUCCUUGGCGUGCUGCUUGGCGAGGUCUGCUGCUUGGCGUGGCCGGGUGAAUGCUCUCCUUUGUUCUGGGAAUUCUCACAGGCGUGCGAGCUGAGACUCGUGAGGUGAGAUUGUUCCGGUGGUUUAUGCCACGCUCAAAGGGUCCAGUCAGUGUGUGAAGAUACUAGAAGCGUGGCGACUUUCCCGCUGUCCGACGUGGAGAAGUGAAGCCUUGGAAGCCGGGCUGGUGGAGGACGGGGAGUGUCCAAUUCAGCUCCUCCCGUGUGUGUGAUCACCUGUUCCCCUCCUCGCUGAUGCUCCUCCCCCUGCAAUAGUGCUACUGUUU